rnacentral:rRNA from 1 species
GACAGAGGGUGCAAACGUUGUUCGGAAUUAUUGGGCGUAAAGAGCUCGUAGGCGGUCUGUCGCGUCGGCUGUGAAAACCCGGGGCUCAACCCCGGGCCUGCAGUCGAUACGGGCAGACUAGAGUGCGGUAGGGGAGACUGGAAUUCCUGGUGUAGCGGUGAAAUGCGCAGAUAUCAGGAGGAACACCGGUGGCGAAGGCGGGUCUCUGGGCCGAUAUUGACGCUGAGGCGCGAAAGCCAGGGGAGCAAACGGG